rnacentral:misc_RNA from 1 species
GAUGAAGAACGCAGCGAAAUGCGAUACGUAAUGUGAAUUGCAGAAUUCAGUGAAUCAUCGAAUCUUUGAACGCACAUUGCGCCUGCCAGCACUCUGGCAGGCAUGCCUGUUCGAGCGUCAUUUCAACCAUCAAGCCCUAGGCUUGCGUUGGAGCCCUGCGGCUGCCGCAGGCCCCUAAAAGCAGUGGCGGGCUCGCUAUCACACCGAGUGCAGUAGAUUACUCUUCGCUCAGGGCGUGUGGCGGGUUCCAGCCGUGAAACCCCCUGCUUCUCAAGGUUGACCUCGGAUCAGGUAGGAAUACCCGCUGAACUUAAGCAUAUCAAUAAGCGGAGGA